ACUUUGUAGUUUAAAAUUCUAGAUAGAAUUAUGAUGAUGACAUUAUCUAUCUAUAAGUCUUGACCAAAUUACGUGCCAGCAGUCGCGGAAAUACGUAGAAGACAAGUGUUAUUCAUCUUUAUUGGGUUUAAAGAGUACCAAGACGGUUAAUAAAGCCCAAAAUACAUAAAAACAGGGGACACAUUAACUAGAGUUAUAUGAAAAGAAGCAUUAAGGUACUGUUGAGUGUAGAGAUAAAAUUCCGUCAUACCAGAUAAUAGGCACAGAUUUAUGCGAAGGCWUCUUCUUAUGUAAUAACUGACGUUGUAGGACGAAGGCUUUUUAAGUGAACAGGAUUAGAGACCCUAGUAAUCUAAGCAGAAAAUGAUGAAUGUCAUAGGUUUAAUUAAUGUAUAAUUGGGUCUAUAAAUGAAAGUGUAAGCAUUCCACCUCAAGAGUAAUUUGGCAACAUUGAAACUGAAAUCAUUAGACCGUUUCUGAAACCAGUAGUGAAGUAUGUUGUUUAAUUAGAUGAUACACAAAAAACCUUACCACAAUUUGAAUAUAUAUCUUUAAAGAUAUUUACAAGCGUUGCACGGCUGUCUUCAGUUAAUGUCGUGAGAUUUUGGUUAGUUCCAUAAAAUUAACGUAAACCCUCGUUUUAUUUAUAAAUAAAAUUUAGAUCUGUUUC
rnacentral:rRNA from 1 species